GCUGAUGUCUGCUAAUGAGCCUUCUCCUGUAGACUCAUACUACUGGAAACUCCUUACAGAGUAACUCUGUGGUUUUACUUUAUUCACAGGAUUAUUUUUUAGCUUUGUCAGAAGGAACCAGAAGACAGUU
ensembl:snoRNA